rnacentral:other from 1 species
GGCGCCCUGCUCGGUGCGUGGAAUUGGACCCUUUUAAACCCACAUUUCUUAAACGGGAUGCUCACUUGCCCUGCGGACUGCAGGCCUCCUGGCCUUGUGCCGGAAGUUGGAAGCAACGAAACAGGACAGAGGCAACCCACCUGCCAUCUCGUGCAGGUUUUAAUCGGGUCCCCACGGCCAGAGCGGGGCUCUC